rnacentral:rRNA from 1 species
UUGCUGACGAGUGGCGGACGGGUGAGUAAUGUCUGGGAAACUGCCCGAUGGAGGGGGAUAACUACUGGACACGGUAGCUAAUACCGCAUAACGUCGCAAGACCAAAGAGGGGGACCUUAGGGCCUCUUGCCAUCGGAUGUGCCCAGAUGGGAUUAGCUAGUAGGUGGGGUAAAGGCUCACCUAGGCGACGAUCCCUAGCUGGUCUGAGAGGAUGACCAGCCACACUGGAACUGAGACACGGUCCAGACUCCUACGGGAGGCAGCAGUGGGGAAUAUUGCACAAUGGGCGCAAGCCUGAUGCAGCCAUGCCGCGUGUAUGAAGAAGGCCUUCGGGUUGUAAAGUACUUUCAGCGGGGAGGAAGGGAGUAAAGUUAAUACCUUUGCUCAUUGACGUUACCCGCAGAAGAAGCACCGGCUAACUCCGUGCCAGCAGCCGCGGUAAUACGGAGGGUGCAAGCGUUAAUCGGAAUUACUGGGCGUAAAGCGCACGCAGGCGGUUUGUUAAGUCAGAUGUGAAAUCCCCGGGCUCAACCUGGGAACUGCAUCUGAUACUGGCAAGCUUGAGUCUCGUAGAGGGGGGUAGAAUUCCAGGUGUAGCGGUGAAAUGCGUA